rfam:Schistosoma rodhaini strain Burundi genome assembly, scaffold: SROB_scaffold0001417
AUCCAACUGACGAGUCCAAAACAGGACAAAACGCGGGUCCUGGAU